UGUCAACACAUGCACACAAUCUUAGGUAAACCAUUACUUCAAAAUGUUGGAUUUUCUUACUAAAAUGAGUUUUUCAUCAGGUAUUGCAUUUUGAUCGGAGGCUUCCAACCAUGUUUUUUUUAUAUUUUUGGCAUUGAGAAUUUAAUAGCUUGAAGGAGAAAAAAAGGGAAAAACAGAUUUUUAGUUUUAUAUAUUUUUGGCAUUGCCAUUUCAAUGCUCAGUUACCAUCCUUAAUGGAACUGCCCCCCUUUUUUUUUGCGGUGUAACGUUUUAUUUUUGUUUUUCUUUUGAUCCUUCUCUAUUGAGUUUAUUGUUGGAUAAUAAAUGCAUAUAUUUUUCCGGAUGAUGCGCACGACCUAAUCACUCUGAGAUAUUAACUUAAGCCCAACUUUUGAGUUUUGAGCACCUCUAUUUAUUUUGGGGGGGCUUCAAGAAGUUAACACCGUGUGAAAAAAUCAAAUUAGUAUGGUUAACCCCUUAAGUCAUUAUUUUUCUCUCUCUUAAACUCAAUUUUUGUUACUAAGCAAAAUCUAAACUGAAGAUGUGCAGCAUUGGUGAUUAUAAUUUAGUCAAUCUGUUUAUCCAUUACAAUUUAGUAAUGAAAUCUGAUUGUGAACUGUGUAACAACAGGGGUUUCUCCUCAAGGAAUUCCCAAAGGAUGUCUAUGCCCUAUAACAUCCACACGAGCAGGUCGACGGUGCCAAAAUAAAUGUAAGAUUGAUUCAAAUGAUUCUGCAGUGACUCCCUCCGGUGGUAGUCCUUAUCUUCAGAUGUCAAGGGGAGGACUGAACAUCAUCGCUACCAUAGGAUGGACGCUAAACCUACAAAAU
rnacentral:lncRNA from 1 species